AAAAGGGAAGUGUGGGGACUCCCAGUGGAUAGCAGCAAGGGAGAGAUCCAAGAAGGCUUCGCAGUUGGAUGAAGAGGGAAUGGAGGUCACUGUCUGUCGCCAUGGUUUCUUUUGAAAACCCUUAAUAUGUUCAGGGAUCAAAUGGAGUGGUAUGAACCAGGAAGGAGCAGGGACAACUGCUGGUGAGGAGGUGGAGUAAGUUAACAGCUACCUAUCUCGUUGUGCCCUGACUACGGAAUAUAUGUCGAAAGCAGUGCGUGUUGACAUGCUUACAUUGCAUGCUUUGGGGUGGAACCACAAAAAAAGGGCCUUUCUACACCAAACGCUUUCCACUAGAUAUGUAAAGUUAAGUCUGUAUUGAGGGUUUUGUUGGGUCCAUUUGGUGACACAUUUGCUGUUCUCUUGGCCUGUUUAUCCUACAGUGCUUUAAUCUUAUUAUUGUAUAACGCUGUUUAUCAGACAUGUCAAAGACUCCUGGACGAGACUGCAAAGCUAGCUGAGCUAAAAACAGAGCUACAUUGCCAAGCUGAAAUGGCAACACAGUGGAUCUCUGAGGUGACCAAAUGGGCAGCUGGCAGGACACCUCAUACCUCUGAAGGCACCACACAGGAGGAACUACAGCAGUCAAUUGUGGGACUCUACCUCAGUGUUCUCAGUGCAAUGCAAGCAAACCCUCUACCGCCAGAAUGACAGCAGCAAGCUUUGCCACCGGCUUCGAAGGAAACUGGGAGAGGAAAAAAAAUGCUUCUUCAGGAAAUGCACAGAUACAAUGGUCUAGUACCAGACUCUGCAAAAAUUGAUGUAGCUCUUGUGGAGCAGAUAUCAACUGGAGAGAGCACUGUGUCCCCUGUGUGGCCAUGGGAAGUUCAUGGCAGUGCAAACAUCACAAUGAAGAAGAGACUGCAUGACCAAGUGAUAACGAGGCGACUGAAGGAGGAAAAAAGUGUUUUGGUUUUAGAGAUGGUGCAACACUACACAUGGUUGCAGAAGCAGGCAGAGGAUCUUAUGAACAAAGUGGCUGAGAAUGACCAGACCAUCGAAGGACUUUGCUGUCUCUUAAGAAGACAACAUUCAGAGGUGUCAGAGCAGAUGCACGUGGUCCUCCAGCAGUACAAGACUGCCUUAGGUCCUGAUGCCUCUGUCCUUCUACAAUAGAGGAGGAGGAGGAGGAUCAAAGUGCUCUCAGCACUCCAGACAGCAAUGAUGCUGUCUGACUGACUGUGAAGGACAUGGACCCCACCCCUGUGUGUGUGAUUGUGUGAAUGAGUACAUGUGACAGAUGCAGAGCAGACACAGCUUGGUGAUUGACCCACCAGUGAGAGGCGGGCCACAUUGUUUCUGUUUGGCUUACUUUCAAACGUGUUGAAUGACAUAAGUGUCUCUUAAAAUGUGCACUGUUCUG